rnacentral:rRNA from 1 species
UACGUAGGGUGCGAGCGUUAAUCGGAAUUACUGGGCGUAAAGCGUGCGCAGGCGGUUUUGUAGGCCAGAUGUGAAAGCCCCGGGCUCAACCCGGGAAUGGCAUUUGGGACUGCAAGGCUUGAGUGCGGCAGAGGAGACUGGAAUUCCUGGUGUAGCAGUGAAAUGCGUAGAUAUCAGGAGGAAUACCGAUGGCGAAGGCAGGCCUCUGGGCUGACACUGACGCUCAUGCACGAAAGCGUGGGGAGCAAACAGG